CCUACGGGUGGCUGCAGUGGGGAAUAUUGGACAAUGGGCGAAAGCCUGAUCCAGCCAUGCCGCGUGUGUGAAGAAGACCUUCGGGUUGUAAAGCACUUUCAGUGGGGAAGAAAGCCUUGGGGCUAAUACCCUCGAGGAAGGACAUCACCCACAGAAGAAGCACCGGCUAACUCCGUGCCAGCAGCCGCGGUAAUACGGAGGGUGCGAGCGUUAAUCGGAAUUACUGGGCGUAAAGCGCGCGUAGGCGGUCUGAUAAGCCGGUUGUGAAAGCCCCGGGCUCAACCUGGGAACGGCAUCCGGAACUGUCAGGCUAGAGUGCAGGAGAGGAAGGGAGAAUUCCCGGUGUAGCGGUGAAAUGCGUAGAGAUCGGGAGGAAUACCAGUGGCGAAGGCGGCCUUCUGGACUGACACUGACGCUGAGGUGCGAAAGCGUGGGUAGCAAACAGGAUUAGAUACCCCGGUAGUC
rnacentral:rRNA from 1 species